CGAGGUCCCGCCCCCGGCGGCAGCAGGUUACGUUGUGUGCGAGUGGUUAGUUCCUGUACUAGGCCCGGGCGGGGGCUGCUGGCGAGUAACUGCCCUGGGGGAGGCGGGGUCCGAACCGGCGCUGGGGGCCUGGGGCCAUGGUGUAGCGGAGGCGCCGGGCGGAGCAGAGGGGGGCACCAUGAUCAUUGAGAACGUGGACGCCCUCAAGACCUGGCUGGCCAAGUUACUGGAGCCGAUAUGUGAUGCAGACCCUUCAGCCUUAGCUAACUACGUCGUGGCAUUAGUCAAGAAAGACAAACCAGAGAAAGAGCUGAAGGCUUUCUGUGCUGAUCAGCUAGACGUCUUUCUGCAGAAAGAAACUUCAGGUUUUGUAGAUAAACUAUUUGAAAGUCUGUACACAAAGAACUACCUUCCUUCCCUUGAACCAGCAAAACUAGAACCGAAGCCUGCAAGUCAGGAAAAAGAAGAAAUCAAAGAGGAGAUAUUUCAAGAGUCGUUUGAGGAAGAACGAGAUGGUAGGAAAAAGAAGUAUCCUAGCCCACAGAGAAACCGUUUAGAUUCUAAUGAACAAAGAACCAGAGAGAAAAAGAGAGAUGAUGGCAAAUGGAGAGACUAUGACAGAUACUAUGAUCGGAAUGAUUUAUAUAGAGACAAAUACGACUGGCGAAGAGGCAGGAGUAAAAGUCGUAGUAAAAGCAGAGGGUUAAGCCGAAGUCGUAGCCGCAGCGGGGGUAGAAGCAAAGACCGGGAUCUGAACAGAAAUAUUGUUGAACACAAGGAGAGAGCAAAAUUCAAGAGUGAAAGGAAUGACAUGGAGAGCUCAUAUAACACAGUGUCUUUGUCAUCCAGUAAUUCUACUGAACAGUAUUCCUCUGCGCAGUCUAUUCCCAGUGCUGUUACUGUGAUUGCACCUGCUCACCAUCCUGAGAACACAACAGAGAGCUGGUCAAAUUAUUAUAACAAUCGUAGUGUUCCCAAUUCAUUUGGCAGAAACGCUCCACCUAAAAGACGAUGUCGAGAUUAUGAUGAGCGAGGAUUUUGUGUACUUGGCGACCUUUGCCAAUUUGAUCAUGGAAAUGACCCUUUAGUAGUAGAUGAAGUUUCAUUGCCAAGCAUGAUUCCUUUUCCACCACCACCCCCAGGACUCCCCCCUCCUCCUCCUCCUCCUCCUCCACCUCCUCCUGGAAUGCUAAUGCCUCCAAUGCCCGGCCCAGCUCACAAUAUGAGAAUGCCAGGCCCACAAAUACAUCCUCGGCCACCACCUCCUGUUGUGCUUCCUGUAUCAAGACCACCUUUAACACAGUCAAGUUUGAUGAAUAACCGUGACCAGCCUCGGACAAGUGCAGUGCCCAAUCUUGCACCAGUGGGAGCAAGACUACCUCCUCCUUUGCCCCAGAACCUACUGUAUACAGUAUCAGAACAUACGUAUGAGCCAGAUGGUUAUAACCCAGAAGCACCUAGUAUUACCAGUGCUGGUAGAUCUCAAUACCGACAGUUCUUUACUAGAACACAGACACAGCGUCCAAAUCUGAUUGGCCUAACAUCUGGGGAGAUGGAUACAAAUCCAAGAGCGGCCAACAUUAUCAUCCAGACUGAAACUCCCAUUUCCAUUGCAAAUAACAGCAGCAAUGUAACCAGAGUGGUGCUUGAGCCAGACAACAGGAAAAGACCUCCAAGUAGCAUGGAAGGGCCAUCUGUAAAGAAACCCUGGAUGGGAAAGCAAGCCAAUAACCAGAAUAAACCAGGAUUUCUGAAAAAGAAUCAGUACACUAACACCAAGCUGGAAGUUCGAAAAAUCCCACCCGAGUUGAAUAAUAUUACACAACUCAAUGAACACUUCAGCAAAUUUGGAACUAUUGUUAACAUUCAGGUUGCUUUCAAGAAUGAUCCUGAAGCUGCACUAAUUCAAUAUUUAACUAAUGAUGAGGCCAGAAAGGCCAUUUCCAGCACAGAGGCAGUUUUAAACAAUCGAUUUAUAAGGGUGCUGUGGCAUAGGGAAAAUGAGCAGCAGCCACCACUGCUGCAGCAACACCUGCACCAUCACCAGCAGCAACCACCACAAUCUCUGCAUCACCAGCUUCAUCUUCAACAACAAACGCUGACUGCCCAACCUCCAGCUGCAACGGUACAUAGCAAUGUGUCAAAGGUGAUAACUAAACCACUGGCAUCGGGUGCCUAUGUCCUUAAUAAGGUUUCAGUUAAACGUCGCCUUGGAGCAGCAGGUGGAAACCAGACAGAUGCAGCACAUUUGUUAAAUCAGUCCAGCGCUACUGCGGAGGAUUCUCAGACAUUUCCUACUUCUACAAGCCAUACAAAAAUGGUGUAUAAUUCCCCAAACUUAAAGACCUCUGUGAAAUCUGGCACAGGAUCUAAAUCCCAUGAUGUUCAAGAGGCCCUUAAAAAGAAACAGGAGGCAAUAAAGCUUCAACAAGAUAUGAGAAAAAAGAAGCAGGAGAUGUUAGAAAAACAAAUAGAAUGCCAAAAGAUGUUGAUAUCUAAGCUGGAGAAAAAUAAGGCCACGAAACCAGAGGAGAGGGCAGAAAUAAUGAAGACCUUGAAAGAACUAACAGGAAAAAUCUCUCAAUUAAAGGAUGAAUUGAAAACUUCAUCUGUAGCCUCCACGCCAUCCAAACUGAAGUCCAAGACAGAGGCACAAAAAGAGCUUUUAGAUGCAGAACUGGACUUUCAUAAAAGAUUGUCUUCUGGAGAAGAUACAACAGAGUUGAGGAAAAAGCUCAGUCAACUACAGGUUGAGGCUGCCCGUUUAGGUAUCUUGCCUGUAGGUCGAGGAAAGGUGAUAUCUGCUCAAGGCAGAGGAAGAGGACGAGGUCGUGGUGGGAGAGGAAGGGGCACAUUGAAUCAUAUGGUAGUGGAUCACCGCCCCAAAGCUCUAACUGUUGGUGGCUUCGUAGAAGAGGAGAAAGAUGAAUUAUUACAACACUUCUCUAAAUUUGGAGAUAUUGAAGAUCUCCAAGAAGAGGAUUCUCCUUUAAGUGUCGUUCUGACUUUUAAGUCCCGCUCAGAAGCUGAAAAUGCUGCUAACCAGGGAUCAAGAUUCAAAGACCGAAGAUUACAGAUAUCAUGGCACAAACCUAAGGUACCUUCUGUGUCCACAGAAAUUGAGGAAGAGGAGUCCAAGGAAGAGGAGACUGAAACCUCAGAUUUAUUUUUGCACGAAGAUGAUGACGAUGAUGAUGAAGAUGAAGAUGAAUCCCGUUCUUGGAGAAGAUGAAACUUGAUUUGGAAUUGUAUAUUUUUAGGAAUAUAGUUUGAACUACAACUUUUAAAAAUUUAUUUAAGAAAGUUGAUGAGCCAAAAAGUUUUAUUUUACUUUCUUUUCAAAACACACAGUAGAUUUCAAGUGAGAACAAGUUUGUGAUCUGAACAUGUCUGAUACUUGGUCAGCCAAAGCUUUGCCCAAUGACUUUUUACAGAGUUAAAAAGAUCAUCAAUGGUGGUAGUCCUCCUAUAAAGAAGAAACUUAUCAAUAUUGUCAAACCCUUUUUUCACAUCACCUAUAUUAUCUUGUUUUUUAAUGCUCUGAUUUAUUAGAUAUAAAAGAAAAGAUGUUACAGGUUUUAUUUAGUAAUAUAAGGUUGCAGGAGAGAGCUGCAGACACAUUUUCAUUAAAUGUCAAUUGCUUCAUCUUUGCUAACUCAAAAAGGGUAGCAUUUUAUUACAUGUGAAGUCAACUAUUAUAGGAAAUAUUUGUCUGAAUUCAUUUUUUGCUUCAAGACCUGUCUGGAGAGCCACACACAACUUCAGUGUAGAAGACCCGAACUUUUUUUCAUUCUAGUGUUUUGUCUUCUGUUUCCUCUUGCAUACUUUAACAGGGUAUUAGUAUGAUACUGCCUGAUACUAGUUCACUGUAAAUUGCUUUAAAUCCUGUUUCACUGUGAAACAUUAGCAGUGACACUGAUAUCUGGGUCAUUAGCAUAUUGUUUCCAUUCUUUCACUGUCAGUGUCAGUUCCUUCCUACAGUUUGGAUACAAGGUUCAAGCUUAAUCCAGGCUGUUGAUUUAUUGCAUUGUCAGUAUUGAUAAAUGUCUAUCCUGUUAAACUGUAUAGAGUUCUAAAACAAUCAACCAUGAGAAUCCUCUUCUCCCACCUCUGCAAUGUGACUAGGUCUGUCACUUUUAUUAAUAUUCAGGCCAAACCCAUACAGUGUUCAGAGCAAGUUUUGUUGUUUUUUUGGCCCAUGGAAGGUCAAUAUCCUACUAUACUAAACCAGCACUUUAAGUGAUGCAAUUCUUAAGACUAGUGUUUAAAACUCACUUUAGGAAAACUAUUUGUAUUUAUAUCUUAAAGUGCAGUUUAGUUUAAAAGCAGGAAAGACAGACACUAUGAAAUUUUCAAUUGCCUUUCUUUAUACCACUUUAAAACAAAAAAAAACACCAAAAAAGAAAUGAUGGUGAUUGUGGUAGAAAUGGGGCUAAUAAGUUUAGACCCUUGAGAGCUAUAGAUCUUCAUAACUCUGUUAUGUGGGUCUUGCUGUUCGUGAGCAUAAAUACAUUAUCCAGUAGGCUUUUUCCUUCACUCUGUAUGCAUCUGUACUGUACACUUUGUACAGUAGGAGUUAUCUGUUAUAUAAGUAGCCAUGUAAAAUAGUGUCUUUGCGUUCUGAAUGUCAGUUUGAAGGAGCAAAGCAAACAUACUCUUACCAACUGCUGGGAUACUAAACAGCUUUGUUAUAUACAUGUACCAAAUGCAUACAUUCUUGGCUUUAGAAAUCGUAUAUUGCUUUCAGAUAUUUAGCACACCAGAGUAUUUGGCAAUUGGUUCCUGAUUCAAAAUAAAUACAGCAUGUACCAGAAAUUUUAAUUUAUGCUGAACAUAGCUAGUUACUUGAAGUCACGUUCUUUCAGGUUGCCCCAUGUACUCUUCCUCUCCAUUUGAGUAUCCUUUUGCUGUGGUAAUACGUAAAAGAAACCAAAACUUUAUCAUUUUAAGUUUCGGUAUCAGUUGAAGGGAAUAUGUCCUUCAGUAUUUUCCCCCUUCAUAUUAAGACUUCCAUUUUGUAGUUAAAUACUGCGUUCCUACUAAUGCUGAGUUUCAAUUAAGUAUAUGAAGGAAUGAUGAAAAAACAUUAAUACUUUGAACCUAGAAGAAUAAUCCUUGCUCUUCUCCCACCAUCUCUAAUAUUUUCUUAAUGUCUGUGGCUCAGUGUAUAUUUUGAAAGAUCCAUUACAGCAAAUGUUUGAGUCCUGACGGUUUAAAAAAUGAUAGAGGGAACAAAGGAUUUAUAUAUAUUUUUUUGUACAGAGUUUUUUCUUAAUUGUAUAAUUUUGUAAAUAUUUUGCUUUUUGUGUACUAAAACUACCAGCGUAUAGAUUUCAAUAAGAAUUGUUGUAUUUUUGUAUUUGGAAACUGAAGAUUACAGUGAAUGAAUGAAGCUGUAAGAGAAAUUUCAGUAGCCUUUGACACAGUUAAACAGAAUGGGGUUUCCUUUUCAUAUGGUUUUAGCUCUAAAAGGACACACCUUAUUGGCACACUUUGUUGAGAGACACUUUUGCCCUUGCUCAUAUGUAUUGGCUUUUUUAGUUGGGUGAGAUAGGCAAGAGGCAAGGGUGGAAGAUUUAUUUAAUGGGCCUUGGAGAGAUUUAUAUAACAUUUUCUUUGGUAUGCACAUUGGUAGCCUUACAUACAUCCUCAAGUGACAUCCCAAACAUGAUUUCUAAGCAUUGAAGCACAAAAGUGAGUUGUGCCUCUGAACUUAGCUUGUGUAUUAAAAACAUGCUAUUAUAUUAUUGGGAGUAUAACUGAGCAGCAUAACAGUAAUUGAUUAAAUUCUGGUAUUUAAGGAGUGGGAAAGCUGUUUGAAAGUGACCUUCAUUUUGCCAAAGCUAGAGGAUCUCCCUGUGUUGUAUUUUACGGCUUAGUAGGUAAUACUAAAUUGUUUAUUUUUAAGUAGGUAACAGAGAAUGCACAUUUUAUUUUUUAUUAUGGUAACAUUUUAUUUUUAUUAUGAAAUUAUAAUGUACACUUUCAGAAAGUACAGUUGACUUAAUUCAUAAUCAGUACUAUAUCUAUAUAUGCAUACCGAGCAACUUAUGUAUAGGAAAUUUAAAAUAAAAUGUUACCAAACUAAAGCCUAGUUUACAGACCAUACAACUGUAUAUUGCUAAACAUUAAACUUUGGUAUGAAGAAUUAUUCUUCAUUUCUUUAUCAUCAAAUUAAGUUCUUGAGCAUAACAAAGCCCAUGAGCUGUAAAGAUUCAUUUGAAAACACUUGCCCAUUUAUGCUGAAAACGUUUCAACAGUUUUUAACAAAAUCAUGUGAAAAGGAAUAUAAGUUCCUCUUGAUGUAUAGUAAACUUGUACUAUAGUUUUUACAAAAUUGUGAACUUGUGUAAUAGUAUAAUAGGAGAUAUUGUUGAAUUUCUAACUGUUUAUACAUUUAAAUUCAUAUAUGUAAUGUUUGUUUUACUGAUUACAAUCUGAAUUUCUAAGAUGCAUGUUGACUUUUUGCAAUAAAGAUAUAAUAUGGAAUGGUUCAAGAUUUAAAAAAGGAAAAAGCUACAAAUAACUCUAACUUAAAAAAUUGGAAAACUGAAGAACCAUUCCAAAAAAUUACAACCAUCACAAAAAGAGCUAUAUCACUUUUCUUCUGAAAAAUGUGUGCGCGCAUGUGUCUCUGUAUGUGUGUGCAGGCUUUUGCUUGCCUUAUAGUUAACAAAUAUUGCUGAAGCAGCUGGAGAGAAGAUAGUUUCUCUGUGGAGAGCAUUACAGUUCUGUCAGAGCCAGUAAGAAAUAAUGUGGUCAGCAAACUGUGAGUAUAUUUGUGUUUUGCAGAAAACUGCAAAGCAUUUCACAUCUUUUUAUUUAGAGGGUAAACUAAUUAUUUUAAUGCACCUGUGCCAGUGCACUGAACAAAAUGAAUUCAAAUCGCUGUGACCUUUUCUCUUCUUUUUUACUUCGUCUCAAUUUAAAAAAAAAAAAAAAAAGCUAUGCUACAUGUAACACUAGUGUCAUUUCUUCACCAUGCUCAUUCACUGGUGUGUUGUAUCCCUAUUACCCUACCUUCAUCUGUCAUUUAGAUUGUGAGUGCUUCAAGGCAGGAAUUGGCUUUUCUGUAUUUUUACAGUAUUCUGCACAAUGGGUCCCAUCCCCAAUUGGGGCCUUAGGCAGUGUAUCAUAAGGGAAAUUUUAAAAAGUCUUUCAUUUUUGGAAGUUGUUUCCUUUGCCUAAAAUAUAAAGUCUUGGAGCAGUUCUUAAUAUCUGUUUUACGAGAUGAGGGCUUUUGAAGGAAAGAGGCCUUGAAAUGGAAAUGUUUAGGGCGUGCGAUUUGGAAUAGGGAAUAAAUAGUUGCCCAAAACCCACUAACUGAACAUGUUUUCUAAGCAAGAAAAAGUAAUAGAAAUCAUCCUGUGUGUAUUUCAGGGCUCUUAUUUUUUCCUCUCAUGUUUUUGCAGAUCUUUUGUAUGGGAAUAUAGCUGUCUUGCCCCUGAAUUUUAGAAAUGCCCUUUUACUGGUAUGUGGCAGUUACACUUAUGGUGGAAAGUAUUCUUUAAAACCUUUAUGGUAAAAACGACGUAUUAAGGAGUCUAUUAACAGAACAAAUGUGAAGGAUCUGCCAUUGACACACAUUUCUGCACUCCAUUGAAGGUUAACCAACCAGUUCAGGUCUUGGAGUUAGGCUACUUGAUACCGGUAGAACGUGGUUGUGAGGCAGCACCCUUUGCUAGAUGUGGAGCCAACUGGGAUGAUCUAUGCUUUCUUCAGUCAACUUCAGGCUAGGCAUGCACGCUUUCUAGAAAGAGAGGUGAGGAUCACGGAAGCUUUGCGUAGGUGUCGUGGCAGCCUGUAGUCUAAAGCAAUACAGAUGAGCACAUCAAACUAAUUCUUCCUGAUCUACACUGUUUCCCUGUCAUAUUGGAUCCAAUUCAAUGUUAUGAUAUUUCAUCUAGACUUUGGACUGCAGGCAUGACUGUUGGUCUGCCUCUCUUCCAGAGACUUGCUUCAACAACUUCAGUCAGUAGCAAUGCUCAAGCUAACAGCCAGCAGUGCAACUUUGGGGGCAUACCUUUAUUGCCGAAGGCCAUAUCCAUUGAGCUUCCUUCCUCGGGACAUCAGGAUGAGCCAGACUGGCAAGACAGGUGUUUUCACAGAUAUUCACCCAACCACCACCAAAUGAACUCUUCCCACUGGGUAGCAACCCUGCAGAAGCAGCUAAAUCUGUGGUGGAAUGGGAGUAGGAUCUUUUCAGAGUGUUUAAAUUGUGUGUAUGGUGAUUAAAACCAUGGAGUUGCCUGUAUCAAAUGUAUGUUAGGUAGAUAUGAAGGAAAAAAGUGGUUAUGUGAUUUUUUUUGUUUUAAAAGAUGAUUGGGGAAAGAAAUGAUAGGAUUAGAGUGAUAUAAACCUAGUGAAGCUAGAUUCAUAGGGCAUACAGCAGGUGAGAAGAUCAAAAAUGGCAAAAAAUGAAUGUUGCUUAUUCCAUGGUGGUCGUGACCACAUCUAGGGUGUAUGUUUGUGUGUAAAAUGCAUACUAUACAUGGGGGAAUGUUUUUUACAGAAUUGUCUUCAGCUAAUCUGGAACAGCGUUCAUAUAGCACAAAUCCUGUUGCCAUAAAGGGAUGAAAUUGUUACAUUUUUAAAGAGGUAAAAUGAAAAAUGAUUUUUAUUAGAUAUUUGAAUUAAGUCCUACUUACUUUUGGGACGUAGUCUUCCAGGAGGAGAUUAUUAAUGUUUCCUCUGUAACAACUUUACAUAUCUCAAACUUUUUUAAAUGUCAAAGAAUAUUUGAAAACUGCACUUUAAUGAUUGACAUUAUUUUCUUAGGCCUGUUUUACCACCAUGGAAUCAAACAUUCCAUCAAGAUUUACCUAGAGUCCUUUAAGGUUUCUCUACGCUAUCCUUCAUCCUAUACGCCUGCCUUCCAGGUACCCCUUUUCUUUACCAUUUCUCAGUUUCUUUGUGGCUUCUGGAGAAAGUACUUUUUUCUUUUUUCUUUUUUUAUGGUAGCUUUUAGAUUUUGAUCUUAUAAAGAAAAAAACAGUGUGUUACAUGCUUUUUUUACAUUGUACAUAUGCUUAAUCAGUAGUUGAUGGAAAUAAUUGCAGAGAUGUCUUCAUUCUAAGUAUCUGACUGUAUUGAAAGUGAGUAAUAGGAACCUUGUCAAAAUGGAAUGACCCUAACACAAUUUGUGGUGGCCCAUUCAUUGCAAGCUUUAUUUCUUGUAUACAAGAUUGAAACACCACAGAUGAAGCAAUACAUUGAAUACUCACGAUCUGUUAGAAGUUCCCCCUAAAUAGGUUAUUUUAGCUGUGCACUGUAAACUGGUUGGUUGCUAAUUGAUAGAAAACAUGCUGUCUGUGGAAGCUGCACAUAUGUUCAUGCAUGAGAGGAAAAAUAAUGUGGUGUAGACUCUAGGGAAAAUUACUGCCAGUGAAAGUGUCAGGAAGAGCAGUGGAUCCAAAUGAACUGGACCAGUUCUGGCAUUUAGUUUUUUUUAACUAGUGCAUUUUUUUUUAAACCGGGUACUGUAUUUAUGAUUGUUCAGUGUAUUUAAAAGACAGAUCCCCUCUUUUCUAGUCAAUGUUUGUCUUGCCUUGUUCGUGUAAAAUUAUGACACAAUUGGGUCUAUUGUACUUGAUAACCUUUUUUGGUAAUUAUAAUUUGGUGUUCUGUGCAUCUCACACUGAUAACCUUAAAGCGCUUCUACUCCAUGUGAUUUAUUUAAAUGUUAAUAAAUUAUACAUUUCUGGCA